UUAUCUACAGAAAACAUAUGCAACAAUUUCUAAACAUGCUGUUCACAAAGAAUUUGAACCAUUCCAGUGUUGACACAGACAGCAAGU